rnacentral:rRNA from 1 species
GACGAACGCUGGCGGCGUGCUUAACACAUGCAAGUCGAACGGAAAGGCCCUGCUUUUGUGGGGUGCUCGAGUGGCGAACGGGUGAGUAACACGUGAGUAACCUGCCCUUGACUUUGGGAUAACUUCAGGAAACUGGGGCUAAUACCGGAUAGGAGCUCCUGCUGCAUGGUGGGGGUUGGAAAGUUUCGGCGGUUGGGGAUGGACUCGCGGCUUAUCAGCUUGUUGGUGGGGUAGUGGCUUACCAAGGCUUUGACGGGUAGCCGGCCUGAGAGGGUGACCGGCCACAUUGGGACUGAGAUACGGCCCAGACUCCUACGGGAGGCAGCAGUGGGGAAUAUUGCAGAAUGGGCGGAAGCCUGAUGCAGCAACGCCGCGUGCGGGAUGACGGCCUUCGGGUUGUAAACCGCUGUCGCCUGUGACGAAGCGGGAGUGACGGUAAUGGGUAAAGAAGCACCGGCUAACUACGUG